rnacentral:rRNA from 1 species
UGGGGAAUCUUGCGCAAUGGGGGAACCCCUGACGCAGCGACGCCGCGUGCGGGAUGAAGGUCUUCGGGUUGUAAACCGCUUUUGAUUGGGAGCAAGCUUUCGGGUGAGUGUACCUUUCGAAUAAGCUCCUGCUAACUACGUGCCAGCAGCAGCGGGAAUAAGUAGGGCGCAAGCGUUAUCCGGAAUUAUUGGGCGUAAAGAGCUUGUAGGCGGUUCGUCGCGUCUGGUGUGAAAGCCCAGCGCUUAACGGUGGGUUUGCGCCGGGUACGAGCGGGGUAGAGUGGAGUAGGAGAGGCUGGAAUUCCCGGUGGAGCGGUGGAAUGUGUAGAAAUCGGGAAGAACACCAAUGGCGAAGGCAGGUCUCUGGGCUGUUACUGACGCUGAGAAGCGAAAGCGUGGGGAGCGAACAGG